GAGAAGAGAGUCUCUUCCGAGAUGACAUCUACACUUUUGCGAGCACCGAUUAAUAAUACGGCCCGUUGCGGUUGUUGCUAGUUUUUCUCAUUUUUCUCAUUGUCAUUUUCCUCUAGAAACUUUAUUCCUUUUCUCAUUCUCUCGCCGACGUUCACCUUGGCCAAACCUUUUCUCCUUUUUUCGUUUUUCCUCUUUUUGUUGAGCAUGUAGUUCCGAAAUUGAAUUUCCGCGGCUUUAAAAUGGCACCAAAGAUGUCGAUUUAUCAUCUGAACUACUUCCUCUCUUGUUCCCUUUAUUCGGUUUCCUCGGAAGCGCUGGCUCCCGGAGCUUUGAGCAUUCUUUGAGGCACAAUGCAAAAAUAGUCUAAUCAGAGAGCCAAAGAACCCAUCUGAAAGAAAAAUGAAGAAACGGAUGGAAAUCGUAAAAGAGUAGUAAACUGGCAUGAUGGAAAGAGAGAAGAGCAUGAAUAAUUUCCGAGCUCAGUUCCGAACACCUUCCAUUUCUUAUUUCCUGCCAUACUGAAGGCGUGAGAACCUAUUCAUCAAGUUUUGAUUUUAAUUU
ensembl:ncRNA B0457.12 ncRNA